rnacentral:lncRNA from 10 species
UCAACUCUGAGUUGACACAGCACAUGUUUCAGAGAGCACGGGGUUGGGGGUAAGGUCACAGAAUCUCAAGGCAGAAGAAUUUUUCUUAGUACAUAACAAAAUGGAGUCUCCUAUGUCUACUUCUUUCUACACAGACACAGUAACAAUCUGAUCUCUCUUGCUUUUCCCCACAGCAAAGCAAUUUGCAUGCUCAGCCUUGGCACUGGUUGGAAGGAGGGACUGCCAGUGAGAAUUUGAACCAUAAACCAGUACACAUGUAGGCUUGUAAUCUGAAUUCACACAAAUGGUAUCAUCCUAAAGAGCUCAAGCAGAAAAUGUAAUUAAAGUGAGGCAGCAGCGGGAUUUGGCCUGGGGAUGGAGCAAAGUGACCCCCUGCUGUAGAGCAAGGUGAGUGAGUCACGCCCUUGACAACACAUUCUUAGAAGUCAUGCUCGUUAGGGGCAAGUUCUGUUUCUUCCACCAACGUCUUCAAGCCUCAGAAUCCUUUUCUAUCAAACGGGGCUAAUAAUAGAAUACACCAUACCUCAGAAUUAAGUGAGGCUGUGCAAAAGGUGCUUAAUUCUGUGCCUGAAAUGUAGCAACAGACAAUAAAUCCAUCUAACAACAAAUUCUUAUGAAGAAGGUAUUACAAUAAAUUCUUAUGAAGAAGUUAUUACAAUAAAUUCAGUGACAAGCAAUGAUGGCAAUGGAAAUAAAAAUGGAGAAGCAGAUGUAAUUAAGAGAUUUGAGAAGUAAAAUUGGCAGUUCCUGGUGACUAAAGCAUGUGUUAA